UAUCCUGAGCCUGCUGGCUAUUAUGCAUAAAGUAGCCGUGCUCUUUUCCGGCGUUAAUUUUCUGGUUCAGGAAGAA
rnacentral:sRNA from 1 species